GUCAGAAUGGCCGAGUGGUCCAAGGCGCCAGACUUAAGCUCUGGUUAUCGUACGAGGGCGUGGGUUCGACCCCCACUUCUGACA